AAAAGUACCCGCGCUUAGAUACGUCUUUUUCCCUCCCUAUUAUUUGAAGGUCCGGCCCUGUCUUCUUUAGAAGUAGGUGAGACCGCUUUCCGACAGCCUUGGACAAGCUGGUUGUCGUGUGCGGCUCUGCCACCGCUCUGAAUCGGCUCCUCAGCCCUGUUUGUGCUCCCAGUUAAAAAGGGAAGGAAAAAAUGAAACGACCCAUGUGAGCGAGACAAAAAAAGAGUAACGUGACGUUUCAAAAUUACUUCUGGCCGGUCCCCGUUUUAAUUGUAUACAUCCUUCCAGCUCAGAUACCCUGCUUAGGACUGGUUUUUACAAGACUGAAUUUCAAGGAUGAACUCGAGUCUUUCUGCUGCUGUUUAAAAAAAGCCUCGGUGGCUUCCCAGCACCCUUGCUGCCAUCCCCACAUGCUGAACGCACUAGAAGUAGCCUGAAGUGAUGUUAUAAUUAGGACAGAUUUACUCUCAGAAAACUUGUGUGUUACAGUCUGUAGCAAGCGUGUCCACCUGCUAAGAGCUACUGUAUCGCCAGGCGCAGAAGUAGAGACAAUUUUUUGCAAGUCUUUUGUUUAAAAAGUGCUAAAAUUAUGGGAGAAAUGUGGCCUUUUGGUUAAUAACUCACUCCACAUAAUCAGCUGUGCAAGGAGGUAUUCUGACUUGGGUGGACAGAUAACUCCCUUUGCAGUUCGGAGAACAAGGCAUUUUUCUUAAUUAAUUUUCUUAACAGUAUUUACUGCUCAGCGGGUUUGGGAGCUGUCGCCCUGCGCUGGCACUGGUUAGCUCACAGGAGGGGCAGCUGCGUCCCCUGCCCCUGUGCCCAGGGCACGUUGUUAGCAGCGGCUGCGUUAGCGCCUGUCGGGCAGGGGGCCGCAACCCUGCCUGAGUCUCCGGGUUGCCGGUUUUCGCUGGAAAUGAUGAAGUCCCGGCGUGUUGUUGGGAGUGUUCACAAGCGCUGAAGGGAGGCACCUUCCCCUCAUUAUUCCUGGAUAUAUCCAUGCAGAUUUCUUACUGAGGCAGAGAAAACGGCUUUUUCCCUGGGAGUGCAGAGCAACUGGAGCCCAGGUCCUUCCAAGGAUGGUGUUCGCCAUCCGCCUUGUCGGGCUCCUGACCCCACGGCUGAAGCAUCGCCUGUAGUCUCUGCUCCCAGCCCUCGCCCACCCUCACUCCUCCUGCCCUGAUGUCCCUUCUUUAAGCCUCGCAAGGGGGAAUGCUGGUAGUGAAGCUUUGGAGCAUGGUGCUGUCGCCCUAUCGCCCCUCCCCGUGGUUUCUCCCCAGUCCCAGGGCUGAAGUGCAGAGCAGCUGGACACUCAUCCCUGGGGCUGGAGGGUGGCAGAGUCCCUGUGACUGCUGCUCGGGUGCUGCCUGGCUAUCCCCCUGCCCUGAGGGGUGGCAGCAGCCGGAGAGGGCCUGCAAUGGGGAGGGAUGUGAUGCAGCACUGGGGUUUGACCACCCCGUGCUCCUGAGCCCUGAGCAGGCAUCCUGCCCCCAAAGUAUAUCCCUGUGGCACUGUUCAGACCCAGCGUUCUCUUGCCUGAGUUUUCUAGCGGGGCGUAUUGGAGACAAGAUCUGGUGAGAUGUGGAGCGGUGGUUGAUGUGGAUUAGACCACCAUCAGUGGGAGCGAGCCGUCCUCCCUCGAGGCUGCCCAUCUACGUGCCGUUCCUUAUUGUUGGAUCUGUAUUUGUUGCCUUCAUCAUCUUGGGGUCGCUGGUGGCGGCUUGCUGCUGCAGAUGCCUGCGGCCCAAGCAGGAGCCCCAGCAGAGCCGAGCCCCCGGGGGCACCCGCCUGAUGGAGACUAUCCCCAUGAUCCCAAGUGCCAGCACCUCCCGGGGCUCCUCCUCCCGCCAGUCGAGCACCGCCGCCAGCUCCAGCUCCAGCGCCAACUCGGGGGCCAGAGCCCCCCCAACCAGGUCCCAGACCAACUGCUGUUUGCCAGAAGGGACCAUGAAUAACGUCUACGUCAACAUGCCGACGAACUUCUCGGUGCUGAACUGCCAGCAGGCUACCCAGAUCGUGCCGCACCAGGGGCAGUACCUGCACCCCCAGUACGUGGGCUACGCUGUGCAGCACGACUCGAUGCCGCUGACCCCGGUGCCCCCUUUCCUCGACGGUUUGCAGAGCGGCUACAGGCAGAUCCAGUCUCCCUACCCCCACACCAACAGCGAACAGAAGAUGUACCCAGCUGUGACUGUGUAGCGCUGACACCUUCCUCCCCCUCCCCACCCGGCAGAUUUUAAUAUCUAAACUGAAUGGAGGAGAAAUACUUCCUCGGAGCGAAGCUCCCAGAACAUCACUUGUAAAUAAUUUUGAAAGGCUCAUGCAUGUCAGACAGUGUUUAUACACCAUUUAUUUUCAUCAGGGUCCGUUGCCAGAAACUGUAGGAUGAUAUCUCUGAAUUAACGUUGCCAGAUACGCUCUCAUUCCAGUGCAUGAUUUACAGCGGCGAAGGAUUACGCUGAAAAUGCAUAUGUAUUUCAGAUCACUGUACUUGCGAGAUAAAUGCCGGAGCCAUUAAGUGCCCUUCAGACAAUCACAACCGAGAGCCGAACAGUGCAAUCCGUGCGUGCCAGAUGCUGGUACCAGCCUCCAUGGUUACUUACGCACCCCUGGUUUGGGGUGAAAUGCCACGAAAGGCUUAGUCUUGCAAAGACCAAUUUUCUUUG